GAUGAACGCUAGCGGCAGGCCUAAUGCAUGCAAGUCGAGGGGUAGAGAAGAGCCUGCUUUUCUUGAGACCGGCGCACGGGUGCGUAACGCGUAUGCAACCUACCUUUAUCAUGGGGAUAGCCUCUCGAAAGAGAGAUUAACCCCGCAUAAAAACACAAGAUGGCAUCGUACAAUGUUCAAAUAUUUAUAGGAUAAAGCUGGGCAUGCGGGACAUUAGCUAGUUGGUGAGGUAAGGGCUCACCAAGGCGACGAUGUCUAGGGGAUCUGAGAGGAUGACCCCCCACACUGGUACUGAGACACGGACCAGACUCCUACGGGAGGCAGCAGUAAGGAAUAUUGGUCAAUGGGGGCAACCCUGAACCAGCCAUGCCGCGUGCAGGAAGACGGCCCUACGGGUUGUAAACUGCUUUUAUACGGGAAUAAACCCCUUUACGUGUAAAGGGUUGAAUGUACUGUAAGAAUAAGGAUCGGCUAACUCCGUGCCAGCCGCCGCAGUAA
rnacentral:rRNA from 1 species